UCAUCGUGUUUCGAGCACAAAAUAAUACACGUUGGGUACAAUACUUUUCCCGUGCGAUGCCUACACGGCCGCGCGCAAUUUUAUUUUCUAUUAAGAGGACGUCCAAUACAGUCCAACCGGCGGCGUAGCCAGGAUUUUUUUUUUUUUUUUGGGGGGUUGUUUUCAUUUUGUGUUUGGAUGUAACUUAUUGUGACUUUGUUUUGCGCGCGUCGUAUAACGUACAUAACAUAUUAAUACUCAAUCUGUGCGUAACACAGCACAUCUUUUAUAAAUCUGAUACACAUAAGUUUAAAGAUUAUAAUUUUC